rnacentral:rRNA from 1 species
UACGUAGGGUGCGAGCGUUAAUCGGAAUUACUGGGCGUAAAGCGUGCGCAGGCGGUUAUGCAAGACAGAUGUGAAAUCCCCGGGCUCAACCUGGGAACUGCAAUGGAAACUGGCGGGCUUGAGUGUGGCAGAGGGGGUGGAACUGCGAGUGUAGAGGUGAAAUUCGUAGAUAUUCGCAAGAACACCAGUGGCGAAGGCGGCUCACUGGCCCGGUACUGACGCUGAGGUGCGAAAGCGUGGGGAGCAACAGG